GACGAACGCUGGCGGCGUGCUUAACACAUGCAAGUCGAACGGAAAGGCCCUUCUUUUGUGGGGUGCUCGAGUGGCGAACGGGUGAGUAACACGUGAGUAACCUGCCCUUGACUUUGGGAUAACUUCAGGAAACUGGGGCUAAUACCGGUUAGGAGCUCCUGCUGCAUGGUGGGGGUUGGAAAGUUUCGGCGGUUGGGGAUGGACUCGCGGCUUAUCAGCUUGUUGGUGGGGUAGUGGCUUACCAAGGCUUUGACGGGUAGCCGGCCUGAGAGGGUGACCGGCCACAUUGGGACUGAGAUACGGCCCAGACUCCUACGGGAGGCAGCAGUGGGGAAUAUUGCACAAUGGGCGGAAGCCUGAGGCAGCAACGCCGCGUGCGGGAUGACGGCCUUCGGGUUGUAAACCGCUUUCGCCUGUGACGAAGCGUGAGUGACGGUAAUGGGUAAAGAAGCACCGGCUAACUACGUG
rnacentral:rRNA from 1 species